CAUGUAGGCGGUUUUUAAGUCCGGAGUGAAAAUGCGGGGCUCAACCCCGUAUGGCUCUGGAUACUGGAAGACUUGAGUGCAGGAGAGGAAAGGGGAAUUCCCAGUGUAGCGGUGAAAUGCGUAGAUAUUGGGAGGAACACCAGUGGCGAAGGCGCCUUUCUGGACUGUGUCUGACGCUGAGAUGCGAAAGCCAGGGUAGCGAACG
rnacentral:rRNA from 1 species